GACGAACGCUGGCGGCGUGCUUAACACAUGCAAGUCGAACGGUAAGGCCCUUCGGGGUACGCGAGUGGCGAACGGGUGAGUAACACGUGGGUGAUCUGCCCUGCACUUCGGGAUAAGCCUGGGAAACUGGGUCUAAUACCGGAUAGGACCACGGCCUGCAUGGGUGGUGGUGGAAAGCUUUUGCGGUGUGGGAUGGGCCCGCGGCCUCUCAGCUUGGUGGUGGGGUGAUGGCCUACCAAGGCGACGACGGGUAGCCGGCCUGAGAGGGUGACCGGCCACACUGGGACUGAGAUACGGCCCAGACUCCUACGGGAGGCAGCAGUGGGGAAUAUUGCACAAUGGGCGCAAGCCUGAUGCAGCGACGCCGCGUGAGGGAUGACGGCCUUCGGGUUGUAAACCUCUUUCAGCACCGACGAAGCGCAAGUGACGGUAGGUGCAGAAGAAGGACCGGCCAACUACGUGCCAGCCGCCGCGGUAA
rnacentral:rRNA from 1 species